rnacentral:lncRNA from 1 species
UUAUUUCGAUUUAAUUUUAGUUUUCAUUUGAUUUUAUUAUUUCGAAAAAAAGAAAAGAAGAAAAAAGGAAAAUCGAAAAAAGAAAAGAAAACAAAGAAAGGAAAGGAAAAAUAAAAAAGGAAAAACGUGAAGAAGAAAAAAAAAGCAAAAAAAGAAUGAUAAAAAGAAAAAAUGUAGUUUUUGCAUUUUAGUAAACAAAAAUAAUAAUAAUAAAAGAAAAAGAAAAGAAACAAUUUGGUUUGAGUAGGCGUAUUGGAAGCAGGCAGAAACGGUUACAGUCCAGAACUAUCCAUGACUAUUCAUUGAUUCAGAGAGGUAUCCUCCAAUCGAAUUGGUUCCUCCAUCAACAGAGGCAACAGGCACACGACCUCAUGAUCCCAAUUAACCACUCUUGCUUCCUCACCAUUUUCGGAUUCCCCUAACACACACACACCCCACGCCUCAUCAUCCAUCACUCACUCACGUAGCAUUCACUACAUGCUCAACAAAAAAAAUUCUCUCAAAAAACAAAUUCUUGGAUCACACAUAGAGGGGGAACACUGUAACACACAACAGAAUCCAUCAUCUCUCUCGCCCUUGAUCCCAUCAUCAUGAUCCACCCUUGAUUAAUUUCUUCCAUCACAGAAAUACAAAGAAAAGAAAAAAGAGAAAAAAAAUCUACUCAACAGAAUUACCAAUUCACCACAUCAUUGCCUCCUCCCUCACGCGGACACCAAUUCUCAAUCCAUCCUACACCUCAACAAUCGUCACGCAUCAGCCACACUCUCCUCUGGCGUUCCACCCGUAUCACGUUUCUCAUGACCAUUCCAUUAUCUCUAUCGAC